rnacentral:rRNA from 1 species
GAUGAACGCUGGCGGCGUGCCUAAUACAUGCAAGUCGAGCGAACAGACGAGGAGCUUGCUCCUCUGACGUUAGCGGCGGACGGGUGAGUAACACGUGGAUAACCUACCUAUAAGACUGGGAUAACUUCGGGAAACCGGAGCUAAUACCGGAUAAUAUAUUGAACCGCAUGGUUCAAUAGUGAAAGACGGUUUUGCUGUCACUUAUAGAUGGAUCCGCGCCGCAUUAGCUAGUUGGUAAGGUAACGGCUUACCAAGGCAACGAUGCGUAGCCGACCUGAGAGGGGGGUCGGCCACACUGGAACUGAGACAGGGUCCAGACUCCUACGGGAGGCAGCAGUAGGGAAUCUUCCGCAAUGGGCGAAAGCCUGACGGAGCAACGCCGCGUGAGUGAUGAAGGUCUUCGGAUCGUAAAACUCUGUUAUUAGGGAAGAACAAAUGUGUAAGUAACUGUGCACGUCUUGACGGUACCUAAUCAGAAAGCCACGGCUAACUACGUG